rnacentral:rRNA from 1 species
UACGAAGGGUGCAAGCGCUACUCGGAAUUACUGGGCGUAAAGCGCUCGUAGGCGGCCAACUAAGUCCGACGUGAAAUCCCAAAGCUUAACUUUGGAACUGCGUCGGAUACUGGAUGGCUUGAAUUCGGGAGAGGGAUGCAGAAUUCCAGGUGUAGCGGUGAAAUGCGUAGAUAUCAGGAGGAACACCUAUAGCGAAGGCAGCUUGCUGGGACGUUACUGACGCUAAGGCGCGAAAGCGUGGGGAGCGAACAGG